rnacentral:rRNA from 1 species
GACGAACGCUGGCGGCGUGCUUAACACAUGCAAGUCGAACGGAAAGGCCCUGCUUUUGUGGGGUGCUCGAGUGGCGAACGGGUGAGUAACACGUGAGUAACCUGCCCUUGACUUUGGGAUAACUUCAGGAAACUGGGGCUAAUACCGGAUAGGAGCUCCUGCUGCAUGGUGGGGGUUGGAAAGUUUCGGCGGUUGGGGAUGGACUCGCGGCUUAUCAGCUUGUUGGUGGGGUAGUGGCUUACCAAGGCUUUGACGGGUAGCCGGCCUGAGAGGGUGACCGGCCACAUUGGGACUGAGAUACGGCCCAGACUCCUACGGGAGGCAGAAGUGGGGAAUAUUGCACAAUGGGCGGAAGCCUGAUGCAGCAACGCCGCGUGCGGGAUGACGGCCUUCGGGUUGUAAACCGCUUUCGCCUGUGACGAAGCGUGAGUGAAGGUAAUGGGUAAAGAAGCACCGGCUAACUACGUG